GACGAACGCUGGCGGCGUGCUUAACACAUGCAAGUCGAACGGAAAGGCCCUGCUUUUGUGGGGUGCUCGAGUGGCGAACGGGUGAGUAACACGUGAGUAACCUGCCCUUGACUUUGGGAUAACUUCAGGAAACUGGGGCUAAUACCGGAUAGGAGCUCCUGCUGCAUGGUGGGGGUUGGAAAGUUUCGGCGGUUGGGGAUGGACUCGCGGCUUAUCAGCUUGUUGGUGGGGUAGUGGCUUACCAAGGCUUUGACGGGUAGCCGGCCUGAGAGGGUGACCGGCCACAUUGGGCCUGCGAUACGGCCCAGAAUCCUACGGGAGGCAGCAGUGGGGAAUAUUGCACAAUGGGCGGAAGCCUGAUGCAGCAACGCCGCGUGCGGGAUGACGGCCUUCGGGUUGUAAACCGCUUUCGACCGUGACGAAGCGUGAGUGACGGUAAUGGGUAAAGAAGCACCGGCUAACUACGUG
rnacentral:rRNA from 1 species